rnacentral:rRNA from 1 species
GAGCGACCCGCAAGGGUAGCGGCGGACGGGUGAGUAACGCGUGGGAACGUACCUUUUGCUACGGAAUAGCCCCGGGAAACUGGGAGUAAUACCGUAUACGCCCUGAGGGGGAAAGAUUUAUCGGCAAAAGAUCGGCCCGCGUUGGAUUAGGUAGUUGGUGGGGUAAUGGCCUACCAAGCCGACGAUCCAUAGCUGGUUUGAGAGGAUGAUCAGCCACACUGGGACUGAGACACGGCCCAGACUCCUACGGGAGGCAGCAGUGGGGAAUCUUAGACAAUGGGGGCAACCCUGAUCUAGCCAUGCCGCGUGAGUGAUGAAGGCCCUAGGGUUGUAAAGCUCUUUCAGUGGGG